UACGUAGGUGGCAAGCGUUGUCCGGAUUUAUUGGGCGUAAAGGGCGCGCAGGCGGUUCGUUUAGUCCGAGGUGAAAUCUCCCGGCUCAACUGGGAGGGGUCUUUGGAUACUGGCGGACUUGAGGUGAGCAGAGGUGAGCGGAAUUCUGGGUGUAGUGGUGAAAUGCGUAGAUAUCCAGAGGAACACCAGUGGCGAAGGCGGCUCACUGGGCUCCACCUGACGCUGAGGCGCGAAAGCGUGGGGAGCAAACAGG
rnacentral:rRNA from 1 species